rnacentral:rRNA from 1 species
UAGGGAAUCUUCGGCAAUGGGGGGAACCCUGACCGAGCAACGCCGCGUGAGUGAAGAAGGUUUUCGGAUCGUAAAGCUCUGUUGUUAAGGAAGAACGAGUGUGAGAAUGGAAAGUUCAUGCUGUGACGGUACUUAACCAGAAAGGGACGGCUAACUACGUGCCAGCAGCCGCGGUAAUACGUAGGUCCCGAGCGUUGUCCGGAUUUAUUUGGCGUAAAGCGAGCGCAGGCGGUUAGAAAAGUCUGAAGUGAAAGGCAGUGGCUCAACCAUUGUAGGCUUUGGAAACUGUUUAACUUGAGUGCAGAAGGGGAGAGUGGAAUUCCAUGUGUAGCGGUGAAAUGCGUAGAUAUAUGGAGGAACACCGGUGGCGAAAGCGGCUCUCUGGUCUGUAACUGACGCUGAGGCUCGAAGGCGUGGGGAGCGAACAGG